rnacentral:rRNA from 1 species
CCUAUAAGACUGGGAUAACUUCGGGAAACCGGAGCUAAUGCCGGAUAACAUUUGGAACCGCAUGGUUCUAAAGUAAAAGAUGGUUUUGCUAUCACUUAUAGAUGGACCCGCGCCGUAUUAGCUAGUUGGUAAGGUAACGGCUUACCAAGGCAACGAUACGUAGCCGGCCUGAGAGGGUGAUCGGCCACACUGGAACUGAGACACGGUCCAGACUCCUACGGGAGGCAGCAGUAGGGAAUCUUCCGCAAUGGACGAAAGUCUGACGGAGCAACGCCGCGUGAGUGAUGAAGGUUUUCGGAUCGUAAAACUCUGUUAUUAGGGAAGAACAAAUGUGUAAGUAACUGUGCACAUCUUGACGGUACCUAAUCAGGAAGCCACGGCUAACUACGUGCCAGCAGCCGCGGUAAUACGUAGGUGGCAAGCGUUAUCCGGAAUUAUUGGGCGUAAAGCGCGCGUAGGCGGUUUCUUAAGUCUGAUGUGAAAGCCCACGGCUCAACCGUGGAGGGUCAUUGGAAACUGGGAAACUUGAGUACAGAAGAGGAAAGUGGAAUUCCAUGUGUAGCGGUGGAAUGCGCAGAGAUAUGGAGGAACACCAGUGGCGAAGGCGACUUUCUGGUCUGUAACUGACGCUGAUGUGCGAAAGCGUGGGGAUCAAACAGGAUUAGAUACCCUGGUAGUCCACGCCGUAAACGAUGAGUGCUAAGUGUUAGGGGGUUUCCGCCCCUUAGUGCUGCAGCUAACGCAUUAAGCACUCCGCCUGGGGAGUACGACCGCAAGGUUGAAACUCAAA